CGGAGGGGGCGAGCGUUAUUCGGAAUUAUUGGGCGUAAAGGGCGCGUAGGCGGCGCGAUAAGUCAAAGGUGAAAUCCCUCGGCUCAACUGAGGAACUGCCUUUGAGACUGUCGAGCUCGAGGCCGGGAGGGGGUAGCGGAAUUCCCAGUGUAGCGGUGAAAUGCGUAGAUAUUGGGAGGAACACCAGUGGCGAAGGCGGCUACCUGGACCGGUUCUGACGCUGAUGCGCGAAAGCGUGGGUAGCAAACAGGAUUAGAUACCCUGGUAGUCCACGCUGUAAACGAUGGGUGCUCGGUGUCGCGGGUAUCGACCCCUGCGGUGCCUUAGCUAACGCGUUAAGCACCCCGCCUGGGGAGUACGGUCGCAAGGCUG
rnacentral:rRNA from 1 species